UACAGAGGUGGCAAGCGUUGUUCGGAAUUACUGGGCGUAAAGGGCGCGUAGGCGGUCCUGUAAGUCCUGUGUGAAAUCCCUCGGCUCAACCGAGGAACUGCACAGGAAACUGCGGGACUUGAGUUCGGGAGAGGGAAGCGGAAUUCCGGGUGUAGCGGUGAAAUGCGUAGAUAUCCGGAGGAACACCGGUGGCGAAGGCGGCUUCCUGGACCGACACUGACGCUGAGGCGCGAAAGCCAGGGGAGCAAACGGG
rnacentral:rRNA from 3 species